rnacentral:rRNA from 1 species
AAAUUGAAGAGUUUGAUCAUGGCUCAGAUUGAACGCUGGCGGCAGGCCUAACACAUGCAAGUCGAACGGUAACAGGAAGCAGCUUGCUGUUUUGCUGACGAGUGGCGGACGGGUGAGUAAUGUCUGGGAAACUGCCUGAUGGAGGGGGAUAACUACUGGAAACGGUGGCUAAUACCGCAUAACGUCGCAAGACCAAAGAGGGGGACCUUCGGGCCUCUUG